UUUCGAAUAAAAAUACAAUUAGUGUCUUGAAAGAGCUGACGAUGGAUGGCGAGAGCAGUAUGACGAUCUCUGUCUUGGUUGAUGGUUCAAUGGAGCAGCAAUCGAAAACAAUACAACGCUAUUUACAGAUACUUCAAACUCUUAUUGAUAAUGCCAAGAAAAUAUAUCCAAACAGCCAACAGUUCUAUCGCUACAUUGCGGCUAUAGCAGAUGUUGCAAGUAUGUUAACUCAAACAGUUGACAACACCG